rnacentral:lncRNA from 1 species
CACAAAAUAUCCAAAAACAGUUAAAAUUGAUGAGCAAGUAGACUUGAUAAAUAGUGACUGUGUCAUUAGAGGAUAGAACUACCUAUCUUUAUAGAAUAGCUGAUAGGCUAUCUGAAGUAGGACCAACAUAUAAUAAACUUCAAAUAUAGGACCAAUAGUACAUAAGAAAUUUCAAAUAUAUGAUAAAUAGAGAUGCAUGACACUUUGAUUAGCAUCCAAGAGAUAUAAACCCGGAAGA